UGUAGACCUUAUUCUGAAAUGCUUACUUACAAGCCCUUAACCUCUUAAAUGUAAACUCCCCAUAUUUGGGGAUCCUAUUAGAUAUUUUUUAAAUUCAAUUUAGUAUGGUAUGAGAAUGGUAUUCCCUUUCUGCAAAAGCAGGGUGUCUCUGGAAAGCUGAGUAUCUUGGCUAUUGAUCUGUGCCUUAUACAUUUGUAUGCCUAUAUAUAGUAUUAAGGGCUGGCUGAGCAAAUUACCUAAUAUCAAGGUGGCUGCUACCUACAUUACUGUUAGCAUUGUGAAGCAUAAACUAAAUAAACACAGCAUACGUUGAUUUGCACCGAAAGCUAGGACUCCACAGAUCAUGAGGAUGUCUUAUUUGUCUGCCUGUGACCUACUGUUAUUGAUCACAAUCCCCGAGAUUCAAAAUGUUUAUUUUACCCAACGUUUUCACCAAACAUCUUACAAGGUAAGCUUCGAUUUGGUCUGUGUUCGAGCUAUAGCUACAUGGGGUGGUAUCAAAUGAAUCCUUAGGUUGGUAGGAACAAAUCUAGCCUAUUGCCAAUGUUAUCUGAUGUAUGACUUAAUGUCAACAUUGAAUGUCCACGGAGUGACACUACCUUUGUGCAUUAAAAUAUGUUGCCUGCUUAGGCAUCCAUUACACAGGGGAUUGGCUACUAUGGCACCUUGACAGUCUUGUAGCCAAUGAGAUAAGCUUUCCAGGGAUAUGCGGUUAACCUGGGUGGGACAAAGCAAGGACUUUAAUCUUUUAUGCGUAAUGCAUUCUAUUGCUACCUGGCUCAGAGAUGAAACGCACAGAACACGCUGCAUUACAUUGUAAACAGAUUUCAUCGCUUUAAUAUCAUCGCUUAAGCAUAAAAGAUGGCUUCUCAAAUGGGGGAUAAACAAGAUGAAAACGAAGAAUAGUGAAUAGGAAGCUAAAAUCAUGAAGGAAAAAAAACAACUGUGCAAUGAGUUGGGAGGGGGCACAUUCAGAGUGUGGGGUUGCAGGACAAGCGGUCUUUUGUUAGAUAACAGGAGCCAGGUGCGAGAUAACGGUAUGGUGCAUGAGCGCAUGGAUGUUCUUCACAGCAACAGUUACAUCUAUCAACAGAAGCGCCAAGAGGUGGGGACCCGCCUGAGCGCCUGCAAUAGGCUGAGCAAGUUUAAACCACGCCCAGUCUCUACUGUGAUAGGCCAACAGACGGGUUGGAACUGUCUAUCACAGUAUAAAGAAUACUUUUUACAUACAUCUUGUCAUUUCCUUGUUCUGCCCUGCGUGGUAUUACAGUGAGCCCGUAUAUACGAAAGUUGCAUUUGCCAUUUAUUACUUAGCUAAUAAAAAAUACAUAGUAUACAAUCGGUGACUCAUUGUUAUAUUUAUCCUGAUACCAGAUUCGAAUUUACUCUAACAAGAGUAGGACUCGGGUUCAGGAGAGUAGGACUCGGGUUCAGGAAGGCAGGACUCGGGUUCAGGAGAGCAGGACUCUUGAUCAGGAGAGCAGGACUCUUGAUCAGGAGAGCAGGAUUCGGGUUCAGGAGAGCAGGACUCGGGUUCAGGAGAGCAGGACUCUUGAUCAGGAGAGCAGGACUCGGGUUCAGGAGAGUAGGACUCUGGUUCAGGAGAGCAGGACUCGGGUUCAGGAGAGCAGGACUCGGGUUCAGGAGAGCGAUUUGAACUAUGAGGAUUUCGACUCAGCCGACAAAGAUUGCUUUCAAGAAGGAUUGGGUCCACUUUUAGAUCUAGUGGAGGAUGCAGAGGAUUUGGAUGAUGACGUUUGGGAGCCACCCCACUCCAGUAAGCGCCCCCGAUGGUUAAGGUCUUCAUCCUCCACUGCUAUGUCAAUCACCCUGUCUGAUGGUUCUACAUCCACUUUUCAUAGACCUCUUGAAAAAUAAAAUAGGGGCUUGUGGCACCAUUCGUCCUAACAGAAUCAGAUUCCCCAAGACCCAGGUAAACAACAUGACAAAAACAGAGGAGAGGGGGACCUUAAGUUGGAUCAGGACUAACAAGCUGCUUUUUGUGAAAUGGAACGACACCAGGGAAGUAACCAUGCUCAUCACACAGUAUAAUCAUUCAAUAAUGAAAUGCCAGUUUGCUUUUUGUUUCCUGGCAGAGGGACUGCUUCAAAGACUAUCAAGACAUGCACAAGCUACGGUGAAAGGGAAAUCUAAUCAGCUACACCUGGGACGUAAAACGAACAGGAAUGCCAUUUGAAAGGCCCAUCAAGACCCAGAGUUUCUUUUUCCAAGGAGACCUGGCCAAGAAGGAAGCAACAAUCAAUACAUGGCAUAAUUCUAAAAAUACAACAAAGCUCUGGCGAAGGCCGUGUGGCCGAUAUGUAAGCUUAUUAAAUAUAGGUGAUCCUAUCAAGAGCGGUGUGCGGUUUCCUUUCUCCUUAAAAUACAACAAUACAAUACAA